rnacentral:tRNA from 3 species
GCACCCGUAGCUCAGGGGAUAGAGCGCCGGCGUCCGAAGCCGGAGGUCGUCUGUUCAAUUCAGACCGGAUGCGCCA